rnacentral:rRNA from 1 species
GCUACACAUGCAGUCGAGCGGUACAGAAAGUAGCUUGCUACUUUGCUGACGAGCGGCGGACGGGUGAGUAAUGCUUGGGAACAUGCCUUGAGGUGGGGGACAACAGUUGGAAACGACUGCUAAUACCGCAUAAUGUCUACGGACCAAAGGGGGCUUCGGCUCUCGCCUUUAGAUUGGCCCAAGUGGGAUUAGCUAGUUGGUGAGGUAAUGGCUCACCAAGGCGACGAUCCCUAGCUGGUUUGAGAGGAUGAUCAGCCACACUGGGACUGAGACACGGCCCAGACUCCUACGGGAGGCAGCAGUGGGGAAUAUUGCACAAUGGGCGCAAGCCUGAUGCAGCCAUGCCGCGUGUGUGAAGAAGGCCUUCGGGUUGUAAAGCACUUUCAGUCAGGAGGAAAGGUUAGUAGUUAAUACCUGCUAGCUGUGACGUUACUGACAGAAGAAGCACCGGCUAACUCCGUGCCAGCAGCCGCGGUAAUACGGAGGGUGCGAGCGUUAAUCGGAAUUACUGGCGUAAAGCGUACGCAGGCGGUUGUUAAGCGAGAUGUGAAAGCCCCGGGCUCAACUG